rnacentral:rRNA from 1 species
GACGAACGCUGGCGGCGUGCUUAACACAUGCAAGUCGAACGGAAAGGCCCUGCUUUUGUGGGGUGCUCGAGUGGCGAACGGGUGAGUAACACGUGAGUAACCUGCCCUUGACUUUGGGAUAACUUCAGGAAACUGGGGCUAAUACCGGAUAGGAGCUCCUGCUGCAUGGGGGGGGUUGGAAAGUUUCGGCGGUUGGGGAUGGACUCGGGGCGUAUCAGCUUGGUGGUGGGGUAGUGGCUUACCAAGGUUUUGACGGGUAGCCGGCGUGAGAGGGUGACCGGCCCCACUGGAAUGGAGACAGGGUCCAGAGGACUACGGGAGGCAGCAGUAGGGAAGGUGACGCAAUAGGCGAAAGCCUGACGGAGCGACGCCGCGUGAGUGAUGAAGGUCUGCGGAGCGUAAAACGGUGUUAUUAGGGAAGAACAAAUGUGGAAGUAACUAUGCACGGCUUGACGGUACCUAAUCAGAAAGCCACGGCUAACUACGUG